GUCUAUCAAAUUUAUGAACUGACGUUAGCGUCCCGGAAGUUCGGCCCCGGAAAGGGCGGGCUUUGCAAAGAUGGCGGCUCCGGAGGUGCCGGAGUCAGACGUGUCAAGUUCGAUAACACUUUUGAAAAACCUCCAGGAGCAGGUGAUGGCUGUAACUGCACAAGUACAAGCCCUGACAAAAAAAGUUCAAGCUGGUACAUACUCUACAGAGAAGGGUCUGAGCUUCUUGGAAGUAAAGGACCAACUGUUGCUCAUGUACCUUAUGGAUCUGAGCCACCUCAUCCUGGACAAAGCCUCGGGAGGAUCUCUGCAGGGACACCCUGCAGUUUGGAGGCUGGUGGAACUCCGAACGGUUUUAGAAAAACUCCGUCCCUUGGACCAAAAACUGAAAUAUCAAAUUGACAAACUGGUCAAGACUGCAGUGACGGGCAGCCUCAGUGAAAAUGACCCACUUCGUUUUAAGCCCCAUCCCAGCAACAUGAUAAGCAAGUUGAACUCUGAGGAUGAAGAGGAAGACGAAGCAGAGGAGGACCAGUCUGAGGCUGCAGGGAAGAAAUCUGUAAAAGGAACAUCUAAGAAAUACGUCCCACCACGCUUGGUUCCAGUGCAUUAUGACGAAACAGAAGCAGAACGCGAGCAAAAACGCCUGGACCGGGCCAAGAAACGAGCACUGAGCAGCUCUGUCAUUCGUGAGCUUAAGGAGCAAUACUCAGAUGCCCCGGAGGAAAUCCGCGAUUCCCGGCACCCUCAUGUCACUCGCCAGAGUCAGGAGGAUCAGCAUAGGAUUAACUAUGAAGAGAGCAUGAUGGUGCGUUUAAGUGUUAGCAAACGAGAGAAAGGACGGCGAAAGCGAGCAAGUGUUAUGAGCUCGCAGCUUAAUUCCCUCACACACUUCAGCGACAUCAGUGCUUUGACAGGAGGAGCUGCUCAUCUUGAUGAGGACCAGAAUCCUAUUAAAAAGCGGAAGAAGAUACCUAAGAAAGGCCGGAAGAAGAAAGGUCAGUGAGCUGCUGGGAGUUAGUACCUGGAUGGACAGUCUGAGUUGGAAUAUCACCUCUCAGGAAUUGCCAUUUCAGGUUUUCGGAGGCGUCGGUGACAUGCUUAUUCACUUUGUCACCCUGGGGUGCUUCUGGCUUCACUGUAUGCAAGUGUUUUCCUUGGGCCCUGCUGACCUUGGACAUGUGGGGAGAUCUUUACUAAAUAAAAUUUCCUUUGCUUUUCAUA